rnacentral:lncRNA from 1 species
GGCAAGAUCUUCAGAGAUUGUCUGUCAAGGCUUCAGGAGUGUUUAAAGAAGUCUUGAAGUGUCCUGAAGUCAGUGCAAAGAUAGGGCCAAGUCCAGGAGGGACUUAGACACCAUCUGGAGUAGUUUGGGCGAUGGUGCAAAGUUAGGGCGAGCGGUACGGACUGGUACAGAUCUGUACGGACCUGUACGGAUCCGUACGGACCAAGGUCGACCAAGAAAUGUUCAGACUCAACAAUUGGAGGAGAUUGGGAGUUGGUGCAAAAAUAAGGCGAGGUACGGACAGGCGGUCCGUACCAUCGACCGUACUUGUUCCGGAUCAACCUGAAAUGAAGUUGUGCAAACUUAGGGCGCAAGAGAAGACAAACCUGAGUUAUCUUGUGACUGUUUGUGGAUAAGGGAGAGCUAGGGCGUGGUCAAUGACAAGCUGUCUUUGAGCUGUAAAGGAAAAGCAGCCUUGACCAUGUAUCUAGCCAUCUUUGUGAGCAAGGUUCAUGGGAGCCUUAAGGGAACCAAUUAGGAAGCAGCCCUUGCCUUGACCAGUUUGAAUUAACCAAUCAGGCACCAUCAUCUCUCAUCCAAUCACAAGACAUCACACAGAUUGCAAACUCACCACUCCAUCCUA